rnacentral:rRNA from 1 species
CCAGACUCCUACGGGAGGCAGCAGUGGGGGAUAUUGCACAAUGGGGGGAACCCUGAUGCAGCGACGCCGCGUGGGUGAAGAAGCGCCUCGGCGCGUAAAGCCCUGUCAGCAGGGAAGAAAAUGACGGUACCUGAAGAAGAAGCCCCGGCUAACUACGUGCCAGCAGCCGCGGUAAUACGUAGGGGGCAAGCGUUAUCCGGAUUCACUGGGUGUAAAGGGAGCGUAGACGGCGACGCAAGUCUGGAGUGAAAGCCCGGGGCCCAACCCCGGGACUGCUCUGGAAACUGCGUCGCUGGAGUGCGGGAGGGGCAGGCGGAAUUCCUGGUGUAGCGGUGAAAUGCGUAGAUAUCAGGAGGAACACCGGCGGCGAAGGCGGCCUGCUGGACCGUGACUGACGUUGAGGCUCGAGAGCGUGGGGAGCAGACAGGAUUAGAUACCCCCGUA